AGAGAAAGAGAGAGAACCCCAAGCAGGCUCUGCACUGUCAGUGCAGAGCCGGAUGUGGGGCUGGAACUCGGGAACCAUGAAAUCAUGACCUGAGCUGAAAUCAAGAGAUCCAUACUUAACCGGCUGAGCUACCCAAGCUGAGUUACCUAAGCACCCCUGCAUCUCUCUAGUUUUGACAUGCAUACUUUUUAUUCAGUUCAAAAUGCAUUGUAAUACAUUUUUCUGCCCCAUGUGUUAUGAGAAGUAUGUUAUUUAUUUAAUUGCCAAAUAUUAUGAGUGUUCCAUAGAUGUUUGUUACUUUUUUCAUUUAAUUUUUUUUUUUUUAGUUUGUUUUUGAGAGAGCUAGAGCCCACGUGCACUUGCGCACACGCAUGUGGGAGAGGGGCAGAGAGAGAGGGAGACACACUCUGAAACAGGCUCCAAGCUCCAAGCUGUCAGCACAGAACCUGAUACGGGGCUCGAAUCCAUGAACUGUGAGAUAAUGACCUGGGCUGAAGUUGGGUGCUUAACCAACAGAUGCCCAGACGCCCCAAUGUGUCUAUUAUUUUAAUUCAAUUCCAUUGUGGCUAGAGAACAUGCUGUAAGACUUGAAUCUUUGUAAAUUUGUUGAGACUUGUUUUAUGAUCCAAAUAUCACAUAUCUUAAGUUUUAUGUGCACUUGAUAGAGAUGUGUAUUCUGCUCUUGGGUAGUGUUUUAUAAAUGUCAUUUGUUUAUUGAUAAUGUUGUUGAAGUGAUCUCUGUCCCUCUUGAUUUUCUGUGUAUUGUGCUAUCACAUUGAGAGAAGGAUAUUGAAAUUUCCUCUUUUACCUGUGCAUGUCUUAAGUUUCUCCUUGCAGUUCCAGUUUUUAUUUAUUUAUUUUUUUUAAGUUUAUGAUUAGUACAUAAAUGUUUAGGAUUACUAUGUCUUCUUUGUGCAUUGACUCCUUUUUUAUUAUGUAGUGACCAUUUUAUCCUUGGUAAUACUCUUUGCUUUAAAAUCUACUUUUAUGAUAUAGCCAUUCUGGCUUUCUUUUGAAUAGGGUUCACAUGGCAUAUCUUUUUCCAUUCUUUUACUUUCAACCUAUUUGUGUCCUUAGAUUUAAAAUGUGUUUUUUGUAGAUAGCAUAAAGUUGGAAUUCCAUUUUUACAUCCAACUUACACUCUCUUGUUUUGACUAAUAAGAUUAGUUUUAAAACUACUACUUUGCUGUUUUUCUGUUUGUGCUUUGUGUUCUUUGUUCCCUUUUUCUGCUGUCUUUUGGAUGGAUAAUGUUUUAAUUCCAUUAUAUCUCUUGUUAACUGAUUAGCUUAUAACUCUGGUUAUAUUGGUGGCUGGUUUUAGGAGUUGUAUCAUACAUCUUUAACUUACAGUCUUCCUUCAAGACUUAUUUCUUCUCUCUUGGCCUCUGUACUAUUGGUAUCGUAUAUUUUACUUUUGUAUAUGUUACACGUCAUAUAUUAUUUGUUGAAACAGCUAAUUAUCUUUUAAAUACUACUUAAACAAUAAGAAAAAUAUUUUCUAUAUUAAUCAUAACACAGUUGUGUGCAUGCAUUGAAUUUUCGGGGGGAUUUUCCACAGAUUCCCAGAGCUGCCUCUGUGCAACUCUCUUUGGUACUUUGCUUCAGAAACCCUACUUGCUUUGGUCUCCUUGGACUCAUGUCCUCUUAGGGAGUUUUUGAAGUUUGGCCAUUUUCUCCACCUGGGCUGUGCCAUGGCCUGGUCUUUCAAGAUAGUAAGCUGGGGCAAUCAUGGACUGACCUUGUUUUCUGAAUUUCAGGGAUCAUUGUCCAUCAUUGUCUGGUUCUUGAAAACCAUUGUUACACGUGUCAUGUGUAAAUUUUUUUUUUUUUUUUUUAAAGUUUCAGUGGGAAACUCGUGCAUAUUACACUGUCUUGCCUGGAAGUACAAGUCCACCUAUUUUUUUCUUUUUUCAAAAAAAAUUACAUAAUGUGGUCUGUAGUUCUAGAUCUGCCUCAUUCUUUGUUAUAUGGCUACACCACGAUGUAGUUUCUAUGUUGAUGACAUAGUUUGAUUCUAGUUUGUAGUUAAAGAGUAUGUGGAAAUAUUUACAAUGGAAGUAAAAAUCCUGUGUCAAAUGAAAUUUACAGUUAAAAAGUUUAUGAAAACCAGAAUGCCAAAAGGAUUCUUUCCACAACUAUGUAUGGGAAUGCCUGGGAAUCUUUCUUACACUUCUGUGUAAAAUUGAUUUCCUGUACACAUUGUAGGUACAUUUUCUUACAGAUUAUUAUUUUGAAUUUCUUCAUGUAGUGUUGGACAUAUAGAUUUAUUUGUAUUAUUAAGGAGUAUAGUUUUUUUUUAUUUGAUCUUAAAUGUUUUUAGCUUCAGGUCCUUUACUUUUUAGAUGAGAUUAUAAUAGUUUUGAAGAUUAAAUGUGAUUAUGCAUAAAAAGUAUUUUUCACAAGCCAGGUCUUCAGUUAAUAUUAACUGAUUUGCACUACAUAUAGAAUAUCUGAAUUUUAUAACUUUAGGGUUUGUUGAAAUUUCAUUUUUCAUUACCCUUAUAAAUUUGAUGUAGCUACUCAGUUGAUUUUAGACUUGUUUCUUUUUGGUUAGCUUAGUGAGAGUAUAAAAAUAAAUUUGUGAGUUUUUUUUAAAGGUUUUUUAAAAAAUUUAUUUAUUCUGCGUGGGAGCAGAAAGAGAGGGAGAGAGAAUUCUUAGCAGGCUCCACAUUCAGCACAGAGUCUGACAAGGGGCUUAAACUCAUCAGGAGAUCACGACCUGAGCUGAAAUCACAAGUUGGGUGCUUAACCAACUGAGCCACCCAGGCGCCUCGGAAAUUUAUGAAUUUUUAAUAAAGAGAUUUGUUGCAUUUCUGUAAAAUGGUUUUUUUGUUCUUUGUAAUUUGUAAUUAACUUCAUGGUUUCAUUUUUAUACUCUUAACCAUUUUGCCACUGAAAUCGCAGUGUAAUCGGCCUUUUACUGAGGAAAACAGAAAUGAAUGAAGUGAUUGCACAGUAAUUCAAGAUUAUACUCCUUGUGGUAAAAUGUUAACUUUUUGAAUGGAUAUUUUAAACAGUGAAAUUGGUGCUAGCUCUCAUACUAAAUUAACUACUAAAUGAAGCCUUUAAAACUGGACAAUAGAGGACAUAUUUGUUAAAAUAAGUUAUUAGCAUUUUCCAUGUUGGAUCUCACUGGUAUAUAGAAAGCACUGUUUGUAAAUUGCUGAACUUAACUGAGAUGUGAAUUCACCAACGUGGGCUUUUUAGAUAAUUGCAAUGAAAUAAUGCGAUCGAAUAUAACUGGUUGUUUAUAAUAAGUGUGUUAUUAAAAACUUCUGUUUGGACUUUUAGAGUGUGAUUUUUCUUAAAAUGCUACAUAUGCAUGCUUAGGUGUUUAUAUUUGAAUUGCAAGUUGCAGACAUUUAUAGUGUGUCUACAAAAUGCCAACACUGUUAACUGGCAGUUCAGAAACACUGAGAAUAUGUGCUCUUUGAGGGUAGAGGUAGGGACCUUAUUUGUUUUAUUGUUCUUCCAUCAUCAGUAGUAUGUGUUAAGUAGUACAUACACACUAAAUAUUUAAUAACUCCUAAUGGGUCUGGCUUCAGUAUGCUUAUCAUCUCACUUAUCAUCCACUUAUCAGUGAAAAGAUAAACAUCAAUUUUAUUUCAUAACAUUCUUCCUAUUUGCUGGAGAUCCAAAAGAGCUGUGUCUUCUAGGACCUCAUCUGGUUAAAGAGAUAACACAAGGUUUAAGCAAGUGCCUAUGACUGUUAUAAAAGAGAUUAGUCUGGUUUGGUAGGAUCAGAGUAGACCUCACGAAAGUAGUGAGUUGUGACCUAUACAUUAAAAAUAGUUGGGGAGAGGAGGUGAGUAGUGUAUGGUGAGGGAAUGACAUGGCCAGAGUUGUGAUAAUGGGCUGGCACAAAUUGAGAACCACUGAAUAGCUUUUGUGUCAGUAGAUUUGUAUAUGAAUUUGAGAGAAAGAUGGCAUAUAGGUUGUAGAAGGUCUCAAGUGCAGGUUAUGAAAUCUGUACUUGAUCUGGUAGGCACUAUUCUGUAAAUACUGGUAAGUUCCCAUACAUAAAAAAAGUAGCUCAUUAUUAUCCUCUUGUUAGAAUUUGGAGAAUUAACUCCAAAAAGACUGGCUUUGUUAUUACGUGGGGUGCUAUAAAUUAGAAUCCUGAAUCUCUAUAAAUUUAAAAUUUAAACUCUUAUGUGGUCUAUUUGUGUUGCUAAAGUGUAAUAUUUAGUUUUGGACAUACUGCAUUAGGGGCUUAAGGUGGUUAAGUAAUAUUUUUACUUUAGAAGUGGUAAAGGUAUCACAGAAACUUAUCAUGAAAGAUGUGUUUUUGAACAAUGAUUUUUUAUACCUAUUGUGAAAUUUGAACAUAGAAAAAGACCUGAUAGUUAUGAACCACUAUUUGUCACUUAGUCCCAAUAAUCAUCAAUAAACCAUUGCUAGAAUUUGUGAUAUUCACUGUACUUUUCUAUGUUAUUUAAAAAAAAAUUUUUUUUUUAUGUUUAUUCAUUUUUGAAAGACAGAGAGAAAGAGCACAAGCAGGGGUGGGGCGGAGAGAAAGGGGGACACAGAAACUGAAACAGGCUCCAGGCUCUGAGCUGUCAGCACAGAGCCCGAUGUGGGGCUCGAACUCACGAACUGCGAGAUCAUGACCUGAGCCGAAGUCGGAUGCUUAACUGACUGAGCCUCCCAGGCGCCCCUCUCCUAUGUUAUUUUGAGAUGAGUAGCAGAUACAGUAUUUUACUUGUAAUGUUUUGGUGUGUCUCAUAAAGAUAAGAUUUUUUUUUUUUUUUUUGAUAUAACCACAAUACUGUUAGGACAGAAAAAAAAAACAUUCCUUAAUGUUAUCAAGUGCCAAAUUAAUGUUAAAAUUUUUAAUUUGGGGGCGUCUGGGUGGCUCAGUCAGUUGAGCAUCCGACUUUAGCUUAGGUCAUGAUCUCAUGGUCUGUGAGUUCGAGUCCUGUGUCCGGCUCUGAGCUAUCAGCACAGAGCCCUGCACAGAGCCUGAUGCGGGGCUGGAAAUCACAGGCAGUAAGCUCAUGACCUGAGAUGAAGUCGGAUGCUUAACCAGCUAAGCCACCCAGGCGUCUCAUUGCAUUUUAUUUUUGAAGAAUACUUGUUGAUUCCACAGAAUUGCCCCCCGAGUCUGCAUCUACUAAUUGUGUUCUGAUGUUAUAAUUUAAAAUGUUCAUGUAUCUGUCAAUUGGUGUUGGAUCUAGAGACUGUCAUAUUCUUUUUGUUUGUUUUUGGUAAUAUUUUAUAAGUGGUGGUAUGUUUUUACAUUAGAAGACAUAUAUUUGAUUUUUGUGUGUGUCUGUAAUGUUAUUCCCAAUAAUAUUUCUUAUAAUAACUUCUUUCACCUUUUUUGUGUUCAUCAUUGUCUGCUCAGCAUAGUUCAGUAGACAUCUGUUAUCAGUAUUCUUAAAGGAUAUGUAAAAGAAAUGUAUCUUAAAGUUCACUUAAAAUUUAUAUGAUGGAAAGACAGUAUUAAAGUUCAACUUAAAUUGUAGUUAUUGAUGGUAGACAAGAAUUUUUUAGUGGAGGUCUUGUCAAGAGCAUGUGAUUUAGAAUUUGCUAGCAGGCUAGAGUAUGGCCUCUCUAUAACAUUGAAGGUAAUCUCUGAGCUUUAGUUUAACAGAUUUUUAAAUGGUCUUAAUAGGAUUUACCUCAAAAGUUGUUUUGGAGAUUAAAUGAAAUAACAUGUAAGAUUUAGCACAGAAUGGCACAUAAGUGCUCAAAUGAGGAUCAUGGUUGUUACUGUAGCUCUUUACUCUGUACACCUGAUUUGGGAGGAGCACCACAGUGGACUCCCAAAUAUGAACUUUUUUAACUGGCUAUUAGAGACAAAAUUUUUUCUUUAAAAAUUAAAAUUUUUAAAAAGUUUAUUUAUUUUUGAGAGAGAGUGUAUGCACACAUGUGCCAGGUAGGGGAGGGGCAGAGAGAGAGGGAGACUAGGAUCUGAAGCCAGCUCCCCGCUGACAGCAGAGUCUCUGAUGCGGGGCUCAAACUCAUGAGCCACAAGAUCAUUAUCUGAGCUGAAGUCAAAUGCUUAACUGACUGAACCACACUGGUGCCCCCAAAUUAAAUUUUUUAUUGUAUAGUUGACAUACAUAGUAUUAGUUUCAGGUGUACAUAAGUUUUUUCAAUAGCUUACUAAUUUUUUUUUAGUAAUCUCUGUAAUCUCAAGUAAUCUUUAGUAAUCUCAAGACCCCAAAAUCAAAGGAGUCGCAUGCUUUUCCAAGCUGAGCCAGCCAGGUACCCCCUCAAGUGUACAUAAGUUUUUUUGUUUUUUUUUUUUUUUAACAUUUAUUUAUUUUUGAGAGAGAGAGAGAGAGAGCAUGAACAGGGGAGGGCCAGAGGAAGAGGGAGACACAGAAUCUGAAACAGGCUCCAGGCUCUGAGCUGUCAGCACAGGGCCUGACGCGGGGCUCGAACCCACAGACUGCGAGAUCGUGACCUGAGCCGAAGUCGGAUGCUUAACCGACUGAGCCACCCAGGCGCCCCUGUACAUAAGUUUUUAAGAGAGCUUUGAGUCCAGGUUAAAAAUAGCUGGGCAGAUAACCCUACAGAGAGAAUUAGUAAAUUAAAACAUAAAAAUUACUCAGAAUUUAACACAGAGCAACAAAAAAGCAGAGGUUAAAAGAGGAAAGGAAGAGAAAUUCUAACAAAUUAUCUAGACUACCAGAAAGUGAAAGUUAAAGAUUGCAGGGAAGUGGAAUAUGAAAGUUUAAAAACCUCCUAAUUUACCAAAAUUGAUGAGCUUCAUGAAUUCUUAGAUUUAGGAAGCACAAGAAAACCUAGCCACGUCACAGUGAAAGAGCAAGCCAUUAGACACACGGAAGAGCUUUAAAGCAGCCAUAGAAAAACCAGAUUUCCCAAGAAGGAGUAACAACUGUAAAGAUACAAUAUGCUUCUUCAGCAACAUGGGGAUCCAGAAGAUGGUGAAAUAGUAUCUUCAAGGUGUUGAAUGAAAAUAAGUACCUACCUGUUAUUUUGUAGUCCGCUAAAUUAUCACUUAAAGAGAAGAACAAAAUAGUCAUUUCAGAAACCCCUUUUCCCUUCACCCUCCCCCAAAAAAGGCAAUUGAGGAAAUUUAUCAACAGACUCACUGAAGAAUUUCUAGAGUUUAUGCUGUAGGAAGAAA